GAUGAACGCUGGCGGCGUGCCUAAUACAUGCAAGUCGAGCGAACGGACGAGAAGCUUGCUUCUCUGAUGUUAGCGGCGGACGGGUGAGUAACACGUGGAUAACCUACCUAUAAGACGGGGAUAACUUCGGGAAACCGUAGCUAAUACCGGAUAAUAUUUUGAACCGCAUGGUUCAAAAGUGAAAGACGGUCUUGCUGUCACUUAUAGAUGGAUCCGCGCUGCAUUAGCUAGUUGGUAAGGUAACGGCUUACCAAGGCAACGAUGCAUAGCCGACCUGAUAGGGGGAUAGGCCACCCUGGAACGUGGACACGGACCUGACUCCUACGGGAGGCAGCAGUAGGGAAUCUGCCGCAGUGGGCGAGAGCCUUACGGAGCAACGCCGCGUGAGUGAUGAAGGUCUUCGGAUCGUAAAACUCUGUUAUGAGUGAAGAACAGAUGUGUAAGUAGCUGUGCACAUCGUGACGGUACCUGGUAAGAAAGCCCCGGCUAACUACGUG
rnacentral:rRNA from 1 species